GGUUGCCAAGCUGCCUCACUGAGAAAUAGCAGUUCCCCUAUGAAUUCUGCAGGUGCUUCAUUGUCUUAUGCCCAGGAAAUCAAUGACCAAUCUACAGUUGAACGUUUUGAAAGCUAGGCACCCAGAAAGAUUUGACUUUGAGGACUCCUGGUCACCUGUAUUAUUUGUGAAGGGAAGUCUCUAUUCCUCAG